UUUGAUGCGGAAGUUGAUUUGAUGUAAUGUUCAUUGAAGCGGUUUCAUCAGAUGUUGACACUCCUGAGGCUGAUGUGACAGUGGAUGUGGCAGACGGCGACGGUUGAACAUUCGACAACAAAUGGGAGAUUUUACACUGUUGGUCAGGCUUCAGAUGGGAAUAAUUCGUAAUGGAGUUUGUGUUCUUGUGACCUAAAGGGAGUACAGUUUACGUGGGUAUUCCCGGGAAACCCUGAUACAUGCAUCACUUGACAGUGUUGAACCACAUACAGUGUUGACACAGUUUUAGAUGCAUGAUUAAUCGUACUGCAUGGGACGUUGUGUGGACAGGCAUUAGGUCUCAUUGUGUGGCACUGUACAACAACUGCAUAGGACGAUGUGUGGACAGGCUAUAUGUCUGAUGGCGUGUCACUGUACAUCGGCUUUUUUUUGGAAGCUGCCAGAAAAUGCACACCAUCAAUAUACCUGAAGCUCAACUUAAAUUUGUCGUCCAAAUUCUGAAUGAUAUGCAACUGCGAACGGCUUGGACGUUGUGACACAGGACGAGUAUUAUCGAUUUGCAUUGCUAUGGAAAUAUCGACAUGGACCUUCUGUUACUUGCCUCAUAUCAAGUGGGUUCCUUGAACCUGGUUUGAGGGACACGGUGACGUCUAGAAGUAUCCUAAAUAGUUGUGUGUACGUAACAAGGGAGUUGUUUGGACUGCUACUUGCAUUUGACAAUCGACACGACUCGACGCCAGUUUCAGAGAGCUUGUAUUUGAAAAGAGAGGGGAUGGCAAAGAGAAGGCACUUUGAACGGAUUGAUGGCGGUGCAUCAGGAAAAGUUCUCUACAAUGUGUAUUCUAUCCUGUGCUUUCUGCUGUCUAUUGGUAUGAUAAUCUCAGGUGUAGCGUACUUUAACGACUGUGCUAGCAGUUACAUCCUAAACGUAUAUCUGAUUGUGCAAGGUGCACUCCUCAUCAUCUUCCCUAUCCUGAUGUGCACUGCGUUAUGCUGUGGCCCUCGUAUGAGGGACGUAUACUACUACACUGUAUGUGUCACGGCAGGACUUCUGUGCACUGGCUGGUUGAUCGCAGGUUUGUCUAUGACGUGGUGGACUUGUAAACAAUAGAGUCACGAAGUCACUGGCACGAUGUAAGUGAGUGCAAGUCGACUACGUUAUACAAGAUUUCCCUCGGGGCCCUUGUGGCCACCUGGCUGAUGAAUGGUGCCUUCUUGGUUUUGGCAAAACAACCAUGUCCGUCGUUACUGAACAAAAUGACUAUACAUGUACAAUUCUGACAUAUGUUUUAUGUAUUAAAACAGACACCAUUGCGUUUUGUCGAGUUGUCAUCGACCUUCCACGAAAGGGUCAAAAUCUGGACAACCAAUGUACGUGCGUGGCGCUAUAACACCUUACUGAGGAGUAUGGGGACUUACCUGCUACUGCUCCCUGCUUGAUUCCCCUGCAGGAUUUAUGCCAUCACUUUGGACACGAGUGAUAAUAUGGAAUGAUAUCCAUUAUACAAAAACAUAACAAACUAUAAUCAAAGAUCUAAAACACAAGUCGAUAUUAUAUACUGUCAGACUGGCACUAAUUGUAUACUACUUUACCACGUGGACCCGUGAUUUAACACGAAACUUGGUCAGCGUGUAGGCAUCCUAACCAGUGAGAAGACAGAUGCGCUUUGGAAGCCGAAUACAUAGCGUGUGAUUUCAGCACUUUCAC